rnacentral:rRNA from 1 species
GCCGGUGACGAAACCGGAGGAAGGUGGGGAUGACGUCAAGUCAUCAUGGCCCUUACGGCCUGGGCUACACACGUGCUACAAUGGUCGGUACAAAGGGUUGCCAAGCCGCGAGGUGGAGCUAAUACCCAUAAAACCGAUCGUAGUCCGGAUCGCAGUCUGCAACUCGACUGCGUGAAGUCGGAAUCGCUAGUAAUCGUGAAUCAGAAUGUCACGGUGAAUACGUUCCCGGGCCUU